AGCAAUCAUGGGAAUGAGAGCAAGGGACUCCUGGUCUUACAUGGGAGAUGGGGAUGCUAAGAGGAGAAAGGAAUGAAAAGGGAAGAAGGGGAGUGAGAAGAUUUGAGAGUCAGCAAUUAAAUGCUAGGGAAGGAAGAGAGUCUGAUAAGAGUCUACAUAAAAAGAAGAGCAAUACUUUCUAAUAAGAAGUAGGAAUUUCAGAGAAGAAAGAACUGAGUAAACCUGAGGACCUGUGAUGAGAGAAUUGGACUUGGAUUCAGAAGACCUACAUUUUCUUCUCAGC